rnacentral:rRNA from 1 species
UUUGAUCCUGGCUCAGGAUGAACGCUGGCGGUAUGCUUAACACAUGCAAGUCGAACGGACGUUUUCGGACGAAUCUGCCUUCAGGUUGGGGACAACAGUUGGAAACGACUGCUAAUACCCAAUGUGCCGAGAGGUGAAAGCUUUAGUGCCUGAGGAUGAGCUCGCGUCUGAUUAGCUAGUUGGUGGGGUAACGGCCUACCAAGGCGACGAUCAGUAGCUGGUCUGAGAGGAUGAUCAGCCACACUGGGACUGAGACACGGCCCAGACUCCUACGGGAGGCAGCAGUGGGGAAUUUUCCGCAAUGGGCGCAAGCCUGACGGAGCAAGACCGCGUGAGGGAGGAAGGCUCUUGGGUUGUAAACCUCUUUUAUCAGGGAAGAAGCUCUGACGGUACCUGAUGAAUCAGCAUCGGCUAACUCCGUGCCAGCAGCCGCGGUAAUACGGAGGAUGCAAGCGUUAUCCGGAUUUAUUGGGCGUAAAGCGUCCGCAGGUGGUUGUUCAAGUCUGCUGUUAAAGCGCGAGGCUUAACCUCGUACAGGCAGUGGAAACUGAGCGACUAGAGUAUGGUAGGGGUAGCGGGAAUUCCCAGUGUAGCGGUGAAAUGCGUAGAUAUUGGGAAGAACACCAGCGGCGAAAGCGCGCUACUGGGCCAUUACUGACACUCAUGGACGAAAGCUAGGGGAGCGAAAGGGAUUAGAUACCCCUGUAGUCCUAGCUGUAAACGAUGGGUACUAG